UACGUAGGGUGCAAGCGUUGUCCGGAAUUAUUGGGCGUAAAGCGCACGUAGGCGGCGAUUCAAGUCAGAGGUGAAAGCCCGGGGCUCAACCCCGGAACUGCCUUUGAAACUAGAUCGCUAGAAUCUUGGAGAGGUCAGUGGAAUUCCGAGUGUAGAGGUGAAAUUCGUAGAUAUUCGGAAGAACACCAGUGGCGAAGGCGACUGACUGGACAAGUAUUGACGCUGAGGUGCGAAAGCGUGGGGAGCAAACAGG
rnacentral:rRNA from 1 species